AUUUUUAUAAAUCUUAUUUAUUUAAAUAUUCUAACAGACAUUAUCAUACGUCUGCACAACUAGACGCUGUUGUUGGUGCGACUGCUAUUUCAAAUUCGUGGACAAAAUUUUAAUAUGAAAAAGAAAAUAUUAUAUGCGUCAACAUUACGGAAUCAAUCCAAAAUCGUUGUCAGCAACUGCUCAAAUUUAAGAACUGGAAAGUAAAGAAAAGGCGGCGUUUAAAAGUGGCAAGAAUGAUUGCAAAGAUAAAUAAUAAAUGCUCUACGAUUCGAUAAUAGCGUGCUGGAUAAAGAAACGAAAUCAAUAUUUUUGAAAAAUGGGUCAAACAAAUGGCAAUGACUUCUUUAAGGAAAAAUUUGGUUGGAACAAAGUAUAUUUCAUGAACUGACAGAUAUUCCACUCUUCUAUGUACUGAAGGGAGUUUCAUGAAAUUUAAUUAAUUGCAAAUGUAAAUCUGAACAUUUGAACCAAUAAACUAAAUAUGACUGAUGUUGGCUAAUAACGUUCUGCUUCAAGCCAACUUC